CGCCUGGUUUUCAAAAACAUGGUUUUAAGAGUUUGUAUUUAAAAUCUGGCCUGCUCUAUGUUUAUAUAAAUGGCCGCGGUAUAUUGACCGUGCGAAGGUAGCAUAAUAAUUAGGCUAUUAAUUGUAGUCUUGUAUGAAGGGUUGGACAUAGGAAGUGCUUUCUUAUGAGUAUUGUUGAAAUUAAAUAGUCAGUAAAAAUGCUGAUGUUUCUUAAAAAGACGAGAAGACCCUGUCGAGUUUUAUAUUUAAGUUUCUUAUUUUCUUGGAUUUAUUGGAUAAUGAUUAAUAUUUGGUUGGGGCGAUUGUUUUAAAUAAACAUUAUAAUUUAAAUAUGUUUAAUUUUUGAUCCAUUAAUAAUGAUUAUUAGAAUAAAUUACCGCAGGGAUAACAGCAUGAUUUGUUUGGAGAGUUCUUAUUGAUAAAUGAGUUUGUGACCUCGAUGUUGGAUCAAGAUUCCUGUUAGGUGCAGAUGCUUAAUAAGGUAGACUGUUCGUCUAUUAAAAUCUUACGUGAUCUGAG
rnacentral:rRNA from 1 species